CGGUGCUUGAUCGUGAUUCGGACUUUUAAUCCGUUGGUCACGAGUUCGAAUCUCGUAGGACCCA
rnacentral:tRNA from 1 species